GGGGUUAUAGUUAAAAAUAACAUUUGAGUUGCAUUCAAAAAGUACUACAACAAUAGUUAACCUCU
rnacentral:tRNA from 1 species